UACGGGGGGAGCAAGCGUUGUUCGGAUUUACUGGGCGUAAAGGGCGGGUAGGCGGCCAUCUCAAGUCAGUUGUGAAAUCUCUGGGCUUAACCCAGAAAGGUCAACUGAUACUGCGGGGCUAGAGUGCAGAAGGGGCAACUGGAAUUCUCGGUGUAGCGGUGAAAUGCGUAGAUAUCGAGAGGAACACCUGCGGCGAAGGCGGGUUGCUGGGCUGACACUGACGCUGAACUGCGAAAGCUAGGGGAGCGAACGGG
rnacentral:rRNA from 1 species